AUCUUCGUACUCCUUCCAGGUCGUGCGCCGCCGAGGCUCCUCCGUGCUUCUCGUCCGUUUGCGCCGCCGUUCGUCAUCCGCCUGAGCCGCCGACGAGUAAGGCACGGACGAACCAAAAAAAACUACGAUGCGACUCCCACUCCCGAAGACGCGGCGAUGGUAGGGUACGAACUCCUGCAAGUCCGUUUCAUGCCUGCCCACCUCCUCUCCUUGAUUCCUCAUAUAUGAUGCGCAUCCGUCAUUUUUCAUGGUAUUGUACGGCCUUCUCGUCGAUCUCCAAGAUUCGAGCAGCCAGAAAAUAUCGAGAAGGAGGAUCGGAGCCACGGAGAGCGGUCUCUUGGGAUCGAGGAGCUCCACAAGAUCCACCUUCAAGUGCAAGUCCAAUCGGUCCCAAUCCCUCUCUUCCUCUUCUCUCUUUCCCGGCCUCAAGCAAUUACCGACCGUUUCUCAAUGCUCUUGGCUCAUCUCGUAGUACUGUAGAACCAUGAAUGUUGUUUUUGAUAUGCUGCAACCAUUGGCAUCUCAAAGUCUCUGGGAGCCAUGGUGCACUUCAAACAACUAGCUUUGUUUUGACCAAUUUCCUAGGCAAUGCCUCACUGACACGCCUAUCAGUCACCAUACCUUGAGGUUUCAGGAAGAUUUUGGUGGUUGUCGAUUAGCAAAGCUCUGUUGCAACUAGAACGUUGUUUCUCUGGUGUGAGCUGCGAAUUAGAUUAGUCAAGAGAGUGAUAGCCUUAAUCAUGAUUUUCUAGCCACCAAAUUGCUCCCAUAGUUAUUUUCUCAUUGACUCCAUCAAUUUACGCAGAUCUCUAUCAAAUGUUGACAGCUUGAACUCUGAAGUUGGGUAAGUUUGUGGUGCUUCAUUUCUCCUUUAGUAUUUACCGUGAUUUACUUCUCCCUGCUACUGUGCAAGGGAAAUGAUAACAGAUUCUCGGAAGUAAAUGGUAAAGAAGGUUUGAUCUUGGUAUUGUUUGCAAGGACUGAACCCUUAAGUAGCAAGUCGUUCCUGGAAGAAAUACAUGGAGCAUACCAUUCAUACUUGUUCAUGAUUUCCUCAAGCACAAUUAGCUUCAAGGCUUCGACAAGCCAUUACCUCUAAGUCAUGAAAGAAGGUUAUGGACUGAUGACUAAGCGGUUCGAGCUGAAGGAUCUUAUGUACUGAAGGAGCUGAAGAAAAUGAAUAUCAUGUUCUGGGAGUUCAAGCGAGUCUCCAACUGUAGAGAAGCAAACUAAAUAUGCCACACAUAUUUGUGCAAGAGAGGCACUUAGCUUAGACGUCUCUUCUAGCCUUGAUGCUAUUCCUGGUUUUCUGAGAGGAGUUGUUCAAUCAGAAUGUUUCAAUACUGGACCAGAGUCAACAAACGACAGGUUCAUGGGAAUGAAUCAAAUAAUUUUUCAGAAGUGUGUGGUAUUGUGCGAGUUUCCUUUUCUGGCGUGUAUGCGCUUUCCAGGUUGUUGACAGUCAAAAGGUAUUUAUUCCAGUCCAUUGCCUACUCUUUUCUACAUCCAGGUUCGUGCUUAUUGCACUUUUGUUAUGCUGGAGCUCAAUUCUUAUUUUUUCUGCUGAUGUUGGUGUAAAUUAUAUAUGCAGAUGCUAAGCCAGCUUUGAUUUAGUGAGAUUAAAUAGUUCAAGCAACCUUGUCUCUAACUGCUUUGGGAACCUUUUCUCUUAAUUAAAAAACAGUAAAAUUUAACUGCCUAGGAGACACUAGAACGUCCGAUCUAUCUAUUAAAUGCUCAUGAUAUCUUGCCAUCCCCAGGGCUCUUCUCCACCCGCCACCCAUCAUGACCAGUGAAAACAUUGAUGGGUGGUUGCAGUUUUUCUCUUUGUGCUGUAACAUGGAAUAACCAAAGAGAAGCUGUAGGAAAAUUUUCUUGGAAUCAAGUAAGUUGAGAUUAACAGCAUGCCGUUGAUCUUGGAAAAUUGGGCCUGCCUUCUACAAGAUGCAAGGCUCUAAACUCCACAAGGUUUCUUAACAUAUGUACUCCUCCGUUCUAUGAAACUUGUCUGAACUUAUCAAAAUCUGGAUGUAUUUAGACACUAUUUAGCAUCUGAUACGUUCAAAUUUUAGCAAAGUUCAGACAAGUUUCAUGAGAUGUAGGGAGUACAAAUGUGGAGCGAUGAAUCUCUAUCAGAGGCACGUGGCAUUUAUUGCCAGGGUUUUCCUGCAUAUCUGAAUAUAUAUUGCUUUGAUAUGUUAUCUGGGUCUCCUCAUGUAUGUCAAAUGAAGUCAAUUUCAUGUGUCGUUCAUAUGAAAUCCAUGAAAGGUGGCCAGGAGCUGACCGGGAAUAAAGGGUAUUCUGGAGCUUGUGAUACAAUUAUGUGUAGCGCCGCGCAUCAGUGUUCUGCAUAAUGCAACCCCUUUUAUGUCACUCUUUCUCUAAUUUUCCAUGCAAAUCAAAGAUUAAAAAUCUGUUUCUAUGAUCAUUGCUACUUGGUAUCAAUGCCAAGUAGCAAUGAGGUCUGCUGUAUAUCAAUGCUGGAUUAAAUUUGGAAAAAAACAAGUAUAGUGUAAUUUACUUAUUGCUUACAUGUAUGUGCUCAAAUUUUUCCGAUGAUUGUUACGAUUCUUACUUAUCUCUCAGAUAUGUGCUUGGCUCUAGACUCAAUAGUUCCAGUGUUACUACUUCAUUUUGACAUUCAGUUUUAGCAAUUAAAAUAAUUCCCAUUUUAGUGCUCUUCAAAUAUUUAGUUAGAUCUGAUCAACUUGUUCAUAUAUCUCAUGGUACAACUAUUACUACUUUGUGCAUUGUUCCUAUCAUGAAUCAUGAUGCCAUCAACAUAUCUUCACAAUUAUAUUCUAUUUUUUUCCCUAAAUUUACGUAUAUUGUUCCUGACUGUUGCAUUAAAACUACUCAGGGACAUGGGAUAAGCCCAGAGGACUUAAAUGGCCUAUGCAAGUUUAUUGAUGCCUCCAGAAAUUGAGGAGAUAACUCUUUCCUUCAGUACGGAAUAUCAUAUGCUUCAGCAGGAUAGGGUACUUAGAUGAGUUGGUUUUAAAAUCCGUUGAUUAAGUACUUUGGUCUGUAGAUACUAGAUAGUCAAUUCUUGUAAUGCAAGAGUUGAAUUUCUUGAAAAUGUGACGUUCUUAUUAGAGUUGAAUUAUAUAGAAGAGUAGAAAACGCUAGCUUUUAAAGGAUAGAACGGUGUAACUCAUAGCUAUAUCCAUUUUUAUCAACUUUCUCAUGAAUGUGAUCUUAGAAUAAGGAAAAGAGAACCCGGUUAUGUGAGUGUAUUAUUUUUUCUUGAAGUAUGUACUAUCACCUACAU